UUCAUGCAAUUAAUAAUUGCCCAUUUCCUUGAUUUUAGCUGACUAGAAAAGUAUCAACGAGUGAUACGUAGAUGAGAGAUGCUAGAGAAAUUUUAGAGUCAUUACAUAAAACCCCCCUUUUGAGAAAUUAGAGAUCUGAGAGAGGAGAAAUUGUCGACAAUGGAGAGAGUACAAUAGAGAGAGUAGAGAAGAGAAUUUUAGAGUAUGAGAAAACCCAGGUUGAAUUUUAGAGAUUUUGGAGUACGAGAAAAACCCAGCUAUAUUUAAAAUUUAUUCAUGUCACAGAGGUCAUUAGAGAUAUGAGAAUAUUUUUGAGGUUAAAUUUUAGAAUUUGAGAAAACCCAGGUAUUCAAAAAUUAAUUCAUUUUACAGAGGUGAUUAUAGUUAAGAGAAUAAUUUCUGGGGUUAAAUUCUAGAGCUUAGAAAACCCAGGUAUUUAAAAUUAAUCCAUGUUACAGAACAGAAUUCAAAUUUAAGAUCUGGAUGGACAGUCUAUGAUCAGAGCUUUUUGACAAAUGAUUUGUUGGACGUCAUAGAGCCAAGUACGAGUAACCAAACUUUUUCGGAGGCCAACAAAUCCAAGAGAAGUAAUUAAGUAUGAGACAUUAUCAUAAACAGAAUUGAGAAGAACUAUUGAAAGAAAAAUUUUGAAUAUCCGAGACCCUGUUGAAGUAAGUAGAGGUUUGAGGUUCUCCAGGAAGUGCAAGUCAAAUGCGACACACACUUCAGGUAAGAGCAUGUGAGGUGUGAUUGAGCUAACUGCUCAAAAGAUAAGAUCUGCACUUUAUCAGGCUGUAUUACCAGUCAUAUCCAAGUUACGAGAUGCAGAUCUGA